rnacentral:misc_RNA from 1 species
CGACCGCACACGUCAUUGUGACAAAGGCGGAAGCUAUCAGGAACGAAGCAAACGGCUUUUAUUUACGUUUUCUCAAAGAAGUAGGCAAGGCCAAAUUCAACUCGAAUGGGGUAGACGCACCUCCGUGAACCGCUUUGUCAGCUCGUCAUCUUGUUCUUUUUCCCCAUGGCUACUUGUGUUUGUUCCUGUAUUUGAUGGCACGUGUCCCUCAGCCCGCCUCCCUCCCUCCCCAGAAACGUACCCGCUCCUCGCCAUUCUCAGCUCAGCGCAAGCAGGUCGAGACCUCUUUUGCUUUUGCAGCCAAGAUUUUACCCCUUUUCUCCUUUCCUUGAGAAUUGCCGCUCCCUGCCGCGUGCUCCCUGAUGAGCGGGGAAGGGGGACACACCGCACAGUGCCUGGUGUCUCAGCGUCCAGUGCGCCCACGCCAACGCUGUGUGUGUGUGGGGGGGGGGGGAGGAGCCAAUCAGCACCCCUCCCCUCUCCUAUCCGCUGCCAGUGCGGAGCCGCUUCUCGCCCUUGCCCUGUCAGGGGGAUGCAUCGCUACGGAUGCCGGCGGUGUGGGCCUGGAUCGGCGCAGGCGCUGGAGCGACCUGCGGCGGUGCGCGCGUUUAUAUCAUCGAUAUGGUAGGCACAAGUGCCAACGUGACUCGAGCGUGUCUCACCGGGCCGUGCCCACCUACUAGGGGGGGAGGGACCCUGAGGCGCCUCGAGUGGGGAUGCGGGAGGUGGCAGCCGGCAUGAUGCGGGUGCGGCUGUGAGGCGACCUGCGCAGCGGGUGCUGGGUAGAGUGUGAGGCAGGGGCCGCACUCACACGGCGGAGUCGGUGCAUUGCCCUAACGCGUGCCUGGUAGCGCGUGGCACAGAGAGAUGGACCUGUGACGGGCCUGGCAGAGUGGAGUCUCACUCACGCUGUGUAGCCGAAGAUGGUCAUGCGACGAAGAAGUAAAAGCUCUUGUGCUUUUUUUUUCACUUGUUGUGCCCGGGAUCUCGGUCUCCUGGCGAUGCUUUUCUUUGUUUGCCGAUGUGUUCCGCUUCUCGUCACCUGCAUUGAAAGAGGAAUAUGUGAACCUGUACGUAAAAAGAAUGAGUGACGUGAAUGAUAGCUGCCUUUACGACUCACUGCAAGGCAGACACGUUUAGAUUUUGUAGGUAUGGGUCUGUGUGUGUUUGUGUGUGUCGGUGCGUGUACGUGCUGCAGCUCGUGCCGCAAAAAAAAGGUAAAACGCCGUUUGGGCAUUCAAAAAGCUCGUCGUGUUCCCGUACAGCGGUGGCGUUUGUCAGCACUGCAGCGGCGUACUCGACUAACCCUAUUAUCUUUUGCACUGUAGUGCCGACGAUCGAGUAUAUCGCCCCUGCUGCGUGUCGAUUGGUCACUCCCCUGCCCGGGUAGGUGGCUGUCAGCCGCGGCCUCUCUGUUUGCAUGCGCGCUCGCCCGUGAGGGCACAUCAACCUUGUCACUAUGGCAGUCCUACAGCUCCCGUCGCUUCCACUUAUUGGAGAUUCAUACUCAG